UGUAAGCCAGCAGCGUCCGCUGGCACAGUUCCGAACGCACGCAGUCCUGGGUACCGAAGCGGACGAUGCCGAUCAUCUCGUCUUCUUCAAAGCGCGCCAGCGCAUCGCUGAGGCCCGAUUUGACGUGCGACGGCAGGUCACACUGGGUGAUAUCGCCGUUAACGAUCACCGUGACGUUCUCGCCAAGGCGGGUC
rnacentral:antisense_RNA from 1 species